CUCGGCCCUCCCCGUUCCCCAAUCAAAAAAAAAAAAACCCCGGCGGGCGGCGGCGCGCAGCUCCAUCCCUAGGCCGGGCCGGCGCGGUGGCACCCCACAGCUUCCAGACUCAGGCUAGGGCGGCCGGGCGGAUCCGCGCCAUCUCCAUCCGGCUGCUGGCUGCUGCUGCUGAGCUGCUCUGCGCCUUCGCUGCUUGGCUGCGGACUGCAGUGCGGUGCAGCCGGCAGGCACCGUCGUGGCGUUGACGUCUGCCGUCAGGGACUCGGAUCCGGCAGUCCGCAUUCCGGUUGCGCCCUUAGACCUCAGCACGACGUCCCCUGCUGCAGUGCGCAGUGCUGCUUGCCUGCUUAGUGGUUGGUAUAGUCUCGAGGAGUCUUAAGCACGUGAAGUCAUUUCUGUGUGGACAAUUUGAUGAAUGUAUAGAAAAUGCCAAGAGUCAAACACUCAAGCUAGCCUGCUAAAGAAGACUCACAAUGAAGAGAAAUAUGUUCACAGAGUGAAUUCCAUUAUGCAUGCCCUUGAAAUCGAAAGGUCCCCUUCUCCACUUGAAGGUGAGUUGAAUACUCAUGAAUCUUGUGCAUCCAUAGAAGACCUGAUGUUUUUCCGAGAACGUAUAAAGGAUCAGAUAUCAAAACCGAUGAGCCAAACUACUGAUUGUAGUAAAGAGGGUUUAUCUUCAAUUCGAGAUGAUAGGGGUUUCAAGAUGGAAAACGUAAGCUUUGUGACACCAAUACCUGAAGGUAGCCACAAGAGCUGUAAGAAUUUGUUGCCACCCCUGAAUAAAGGGACAAUGGAAUGCCAGUCACAAUACAGUGAUGUUGUUAGGUUAGAUGCAAGGGUUGAAGGUGCUGGCUGUGAGCUCACUGGACUUGAAAAUGGCACACCACUUUAUGACGUAGAGCUGACUGUUCAUGGAAACUACGAGGGCCAUGGCUUGCCCCUUGCUUUCAUCACAAGUAAAUCAACUGGUAAACCUGUAAAAGGCUACCCUGUCACUGUGGAGGUUUUGGAAGAUGGUUGUUAUGCAGCAAGUAUUGCCGCCCACCAAUUAGCAGCCUUGAGUGCCUACACAAGAGUAGAAAUUAAUUACCGUGGCUAGCAAGAUCUUUACAUGCACCACUAUCAAAUCCGGGGAGCAAACAGGAAGCCUGUAGUUGCAACUUGCAAAAGCCUCCCUUCUGCCGUGCUGAUCCCAAGGGGUGUUCAGCUGAUGCUGGCAGCACAAGGGAGUGCCAUGUAAGACCGACAACCGUUUUUGCUGGUUCCUACCAGGAUCAGCAACAGCUGCACUUCUCUAUACUUAUGUUCUGCCUCCUCUUAAUUGUGCUCCUCUGCGUCUGUUUUAAUUAAGUUGAGAGGAAAAGUUGGGACUAUUGAUGACUGGAGGGACAUGGAAGGUCGAUUGGAAGUGCGUAGUGGCAUGGCAGGGUACAAUUUAAGUGGCAAGUCUCAGCUGUUUCGAUCUUUCUCUCAGUUGAAGUGGCAAGCUAGGGCAUGUACAGUAGUCAUCUCUGUUGAUCUCCACCAAACCUAGAGAUGACUUAAGAGACUAUUGAUAUAAUUAGUUGUGUAUCAUAGUAUCAUGUGCCUCCAUAUGAUCCUACAAGAUUUCUUUGUAGUCCAUGUCUCCAUGGGAUUGUAGGAUUACAAGAUAUUUCAAGAUGAAUAUCCGGAUCCUGACAAUCUUCUUGUUCAUUGAGAGUACUCGACAGAGGCUAUAGAAGAUAGAAGAGAAUGUUGUCUGAAAUCGGUAAGUGAGUGUUUGGUCGGCAAGUUGAACUCACAUGCUCAAACUGGAUCGUGGGAAGCUGGUGGUUGUUAGGUAACAUGAUUCUAGCUAUGGCUUCUUUCUCUCACUUACGCGUGGACACACUAUCAUGGUGGAUAAUUAUGUAUUUGAAGUAUUUCACAAUGCAACAAAAGCUAGGUUUGUGGC